GGCUCGGUGGUGAAUGGUCAACACCUGCAAGAAUUGGAUCAGCUCACGGAAAAUUGAUUUAGCAGUACGAGCGUGUUCGAAUCACGCCCGGGUCA